AGGGGAAGUGACUGACAUGUGCAGGGUUUCUCCUGCUCGGACUGCAACAAGUUUCCCAGGAAGCUCCCCAAGGCGUGGACGUUUGGGUCUGAAGCCCCCCGGGCCGAGAGCAGGCGCUGCCAGGGAGCUAGAGCCCGCGGCAGGCUGGCCGUCACUCAGCAGGCAGGUGAACCUGCUUCCCCGCGCCCCACUCCAUCCACCUCCACCAGCUCUUACUUCCAGCCUGCUCCCCCCGCCCCGUACCCCCAUCCUUUCUCCCCGUGCGGCAGCUGCAGCAGGCGCACACCAGCCUCCCGAGCCCCCGGCUGACGUGGGGCACUGGCACGCUCAGCCGGCAGCGCUGGCCCCGCUGCAGGAGGGCUAGUCCGCAGGCUGCAGAGGAGUCACUCACUGACCCAGGGAAGGGAAAGCCCAUUUAUUUAGGCUGUUUGAAUUUGGCACGCACAGAACAUAUCCCAGUAACGCACGGGAGGCUAAGGGGUUUGUUUUGUUUUUUUCUUUCUUCUUCUUCUCUACAGACAUACAGGAAAACUCUAUGCAACUCCCAUGUACACACUGCACAAAGGAAACAGCUUUAAGCAACCACCGGUGAAACGUGGAAGCCUUUUAAGAUCCCUGGAGCUGGCACAGGAAUGCUCUCUACCCCCCAUACAAAAGGCAUUUCAAUUUCAGGUCAGACUGUCUAGGUGAUAUUUCCAUGCAUUUCUACAGAAUUAAAGAAGCUAACAGACAAAAAGCCCAGAUCAAGCCAUAUUAGUGAGGCUGAUUGGUUCUACCUAGUUAGAUCAAUAGUGAUUAUGAACAAAUGGACCAAGUGACCAAAGACUGGGGCUGAGAAUACCACUUUUUGAGAUGUGGUUUCUUUUCACUGUACUGCCCAUAGAACUGGAGCACUCUGAUAGAAGUAUCGGCAUUUGUAGAAGCCUCAGAAGCAUCUGACCCGCUAGUAAGUGUGUAUUAGUGAAACGAAGGUAGUUCUAAAUUAAACUAUGUCAACAGAAAAGUAGUUGAUAGAAUCCCUCAGGCUGAAGGAGAUCUCAAGGCACUUCAUAACAAGAACAUUGAACCUCUAGAACAAGUGAACCUUUAAAUAUUAUUACUGCACUGUGAGUUUACAAGAGUGGAUUAGGACUUUUUCUCCAGAAAAAUUUGUCCAUUUUAUGUCUGUUUCACUUCAGGAUUAGCCUUUAUUAGUACUGCUCUACAACUGCUAGCACUAAGAAUUUAACCCAGUUUUUGUGCCAACAGGUUGUUUUAGCCUAACUUUCACUACAGGUUUUCAGUUCUGUAUAAAGUGGUUACAGGGGAAACUGUUUCUGAGUUUGGCCAUUUGACCAGCAGCCUCAAAAAGACUGACUGAAUUUUGCUUUUUACAACUCAGAAAAUUAAGAACAGGAACCAGUUUGUUCUCACACCCCCACCCCACCCCCACCCCCCCUUUCAUCCCAUGAUACAUUGACACUUUGCAGCGUUGGACCAACAUUUUUGGAGACCUUUAGCAUUAAUCCAUUGGGGACAGUAUUGGGCUGCUGGACAACCAAUGCAAAUAUUAAUAAACCAAGAGAAAUCCUUAGAUUUGAUUUGUUGAGGGUCAUUUGUACAUACGAGCUACAUCUCCAAAAUGUGCUUUAUCCUACCAGACAGCUUCCCUGCAGUUAGUGAAACCCUUGCCUAGAAUGGUUGCUUUACAUAACUGAUCUAUUAAAACAUGGAAUGCCUGUAGAGUUGUGGCACUGCAUGACAUCUACACGGGACUUGCUUCAAAAGCUACGACCAGGGAGCCUCCUGGCUUCUCAGCAGUGCAAGCUCGGGCAGGUCCUCUGGCCCAUUUGCUUGGCAUUCAUGCUUUAUGCCUAAAAAAAGAGGCAAAACACUCAAUGUGGUAUUCCAGCAUGCUAGUAAUCAAUCAAAUGUACUUGGUAGUAACAUUAGAAGAGGCAAUCGGGUCACCAAGCAGGUAAGCCCUGCCUUAGCUUAGGUAUUUGGAUGGUUUUCUCUGACGUGUGUCAGAGCAGACAUCUGGCUACACGCCAAAUAGCAAUGUAGAAAUACCGGGGAGAACGUUUUCACUACAUCCGUGCUCAGACUGUUCCCCUUUUCACUGCAGGCUCUCUCAGGAGCGCAUCUCUCCUUUCUAGGGCUACCCUGGGUAUGGCAGGUGAGGAAGCUACACGCAGGCAGGCUCCAAUGGCUGACCUAGCUCCCGCUGGCUCUGGAGAGGCACAGAAGAAUAAGGCAGGAUGGAUGUCUAUGACCCUCAGAUGCUGAAUGUUGUGCUCUUUGGAGGUUUGAUGGUGGUAUCAGCCAUUGGGAUCUUCCUGGUGUUCACCUUCAUGGAGAAGGUCCUCCGUCCUUCUGAGGAAGCCUUGGCCAAGCAAGGCAAAGGGCUUAAGAAGACUCAGCAGAAGGAAAAACAGAAAAAGAAGAAAGAGGAAGCUGUUGAGAAAAAAGGAAAAGGAAAGAAAAAUCAAGAGAAACCUAAUGGACAGGUCCCAGAGGCACACCAAAGUGCUCCAGUGGUCAGCUCUGUCACCAUAAAGAAAAGCAAUGUUCUUCCAGCCCAUGAGGAGCAGAAGCAUAAUGGACCUGUCAAGAAGGUGUCUGCAUCCAAGAAGAAGAGCGAGCCAGCACCUGCGGACUCGGAUGGGCCCCUCCACCUGCCCUACAAGACGCUCGUGUCCACGGUCAGCAGCACGGUGUUCGGCGAGGGGGAGGCCCAGCGGCUCAUCGAGAUCCUGACGGAGAAAGCGGGCGUCGUCCAGGACACCUGGCACACGGCCAAGCAGAAGGGUGACCCUGUCACUGUCCUGAAACGUCAGCUGGAGGAGAAGGAGAAGCAGAUCGCCACUAAGCAGGAGGCUGCAGCCGCUGCCAGAAACAAGGUGGAGGAGCUGAGUCAGGAGCUGGCAGCCGAGCGGGCCAAGGCGACAACCCUGGAGGGCAAGCUGAAGGAGCAGCUGCUGGCCCGCGAGCAGGAGAUGGCAGCGGUGCAGGCACGCAUGCAGGCCAGCUACCAGGACCAUGUCAGCGAAACGCAGCAGCUGCAGGGCAAGAUCCGCACCCUGCAGGAGCAGCUGGAGAAUGGCCCCGACACGCAGCUGGCUCGCCUGCAGCAGGAGAACUCCAUCCUGAGCGAUGCCUUCUGCCAGAUCAGAAGUCAGAUGGAGAGCAAGCAAAACGCUGAGGUGGCCAGGUUACAGGAGUGGUGCGGCAAGCUGAUGAACGAGCUCUCUGAGAAGUCAGAGGUGCUGCAGCAAGAGGAGCAUCUGAGGAAGAGCUGGAAGAUGAAAGUGGCAGCCUUGGAGAAGCAGAUGGAGCAGCUGCAGGAAAAACUAGGAAAAAAAAAAAAGAAAGAACCAGGGCCAGGCAGCAAGCGAACUACAGGAGCGACUGAAGGUUACCCAGGACCAACUGGCCAAAGGGAGAAUGAAGAAGUGUAAAGAACAGCUUCAGGAAAUGGGGGAAGAGGACAGUUUGAAGGAAGGGACUUCAGUUUGAUGAGUCUGUGACCUAGACCUUACCGUCACCUUACCAAAAUGCCUUACACAUUCCUAAAAUGAAAACUAAAAAUAUAUGCCUGAUUUACUGUAGAAAAAAGUUGCAAGCCAUUCGUGACCUAAAACCUAGUUUUGAAACUUAAAAAAAACCCCAAACACAAAAACCCAACCAGUAAACACUGCAGGCAUAUGUUUGUAAGAAAAUCUUCAUACUGUUUUGUACAACUACCGUUUGUUCCCAAGGGCACCGCACCGACCACAUCGGGGCAGGCAGAACCCACAAAUCUGUGAAAAGGGAAGACUCUGUUUGUACAUCAACUGGUGAAAUUAUUUUUUUUCUUUCUUUUUUACUUUUUUUGGUUUGUUUUGGGUUUUUUUGUUUGUUGGAGUGCAAGAAGUGUGAAAGUGAGACCCAGCAUGGAAGGAAGCCUCUCUUUGAUGGGUGGCUUUUGGCGCGUAUCCUUUUGUGUAUUUCUGGGUGUCGAUGCAUUUACAAUGAUGUAGUGAAAAGAGCUUAUCCUUGCUUCAUUUUCCCGGUUAUUAUUUACUAAAUUUUUAUUAAGUUUGCAAGCCAGCCAGGUGUUUGGGGUCACUGAAGAAGGACCCUGCUGUGGCCGGGAGCAGAUCCUUUACUCCCCGCCUUGCUUGCUGUGCUGCAGACAGCCAUCCCCUCUGUUUUUUCUCCAAGAUACGCAAAGGAGAGAAGCCUUCCCUUCCAGCCACGAGUGUUCUCACACUGGCGGUGCACCCCGAAGUCCCCUGCCACGGGGUCAGGCUAAGCAUGGGGACAGGGCAGAGCAGCGUGAGCGUGGGGACAGGGCGCAGCAGCACAGCCUCGCCAGCCCAGCGCAGGCUGCUCCUGCUCUCUUAAGCCUCAGCGCACCCCUGAAAUUCUGUCCCUGCGGGUGCUGCGUGGUGGUGGUCCUUGGGCACUGCCAGGCUCUUCAGCCUUCUCUCUCCCCUUCUUGUGGCUUUCCUGUUGAAACUCCACACAAACCCACCCUUUUUCCCCCGGGUUUUCUUCUUUUUAAAUAACUUUUUUUUUUUAAUUAUUUCAAGUUGGUUUAUUGGGAAAUGGCAGAGACCACGUCACAGCUUGGUGCCUGCCUUCUCACAAUAAAGCUGCUGAGCCCGGCGCUGACAUCAGCGGGAUUUGAGGAGCUGGUGGGGGGAAAAGGCCCCCAGAGUGCUUGGUACCUCUGGGGUGUGUGAAGAACCAAGGCCAGGAAGGGGGAUGAAGGCCAGGCCCGUCUCCAUUUUGUUCCCAGAGAAGUCUGCGUGUGCUCAGCCUCUAUAUUAGACACACCAGAGAUUCCACACAGGCAGGACUGGGUAGACACGUGUCCUGUCCCCCCAGCACUGCAGCUUUGGGGGUCAUGAUGGAGAAGGGAUGUGCAAAUCACACUUGGGCUGUGGGGUAUGUGCAUGACCUGUCUCUGAUCAGGCAAGAAAAAGGGGUCCUGCUGAAUUCUGGCUGAGGGAAUGGUAAGCUGAGAGCCCACCACCCACCCCCACCCCCACUGCCUGGUGAUUAACAGUGGUCAGUUAAUUACAGAGCAGACUCCAACUGCUUAGAGUGCUUUCUCCUGUGUCUGGGAACACAGAUCCUUGCGUCUUCUAUUUCAUGAGAAAGGAAUGUCUCCUGUGACGGAAACGGAGCUUUUGAAAUUGAUGUGUCAGCUCCUUCCACCCCAUCCCUGAAGGACCAGGCAUGUCCGAGAAACAGGCCAACACAACCGUUGAGAUGUUUCAAGCCCUGUUAUCAGGCCCACCAGGAGGAUGUGUUCCCCCUGGGUAACGCCAGGGAUGCUUGACUGGCCUGUGGGCUGGAAUAACGCUGCUUCUGUUGGUGCAGGCAAAACGCUGAGGUGGCCAGGUUACAGGAGUGGUGCGGCAAGCUGAUGAAUGAGCUCUCUGAGAAGUCAGAGGUGCUGCAGCAAGAGAAGCAUCUGAGGAAGAGCUGGAAGAUGAAAGUGGCAGCCUUGGAGAAGCAGAUGGAGCAGCUGCAGGCACUCCAGAAGCAGCCAUGGCCCUCACGGAGCCUCCUGGCCAAAAGACUUCAGUCUUGAGGGCAAAGGCUGAAGAGUGCAUGAAAGUGAGAGAGACACAGGGGCAAGCACUUGUCCCACCUUGUAAUAUCACUUGUCGGCAUCUUCUCAUCUGAUCCCAGGCUGCAAAGGGUUGCAGCUCCGCUUGUAAAUUACUGGGUACCAUUACAGCGGUAUUAUCAAGCAAGGAACAACGUUAGAGUAGCAAAAAGACACGGCUUUGCCCUCGGCUGGGGAGGCACACUGGGACAGCCUCCAGCGCCAGACCAUUUUUAGCAAAACAAUCACAAAUACAAUGAACUUCUUAGCUGACUUGUCUACAAAGAGGGAAAGGCUCCAUACGAUAAGCAGCACUCACUAUUACUCUGCUGCAGAAUUUAGUUCUUCCAGAGGUAAUACACUCUGUUUUGCCAGCAUCUAACAGCAAACCAUGUAACACGAAGAUGCAGAGUUAAGGUACCUGUAAAUGCACUGGUUUUGUUUCCUGGCUUUUGUGCUUCCCAGGGCUGUCCUUUGUUGUGCAGCUCUGAUAUUUUCCAUUUUUUUUAUAUUUGGAUAUAGCAAUUGCUAACACAGAGUCUAAGGCUAGCAAUCAUAACAUCUAUUUACAACAUGCACACUGGCUGUGUGCACCUGUUCCACCAGCCUCCCAUUUGCUUCAAACAUGGCAGUCUCCCUGAGGACACGUUCAAUGAGAAACCACCCCCCUACCCUGCAAAGCCCUGCUUUACUUGCUGCCAAGCCUCCUGCAUCCCCCUGGGCAGAUUAUUUUUGGAAGGCUGGCCAGGGAAUAUUUACCAGCUAUUGAAUCAACAGAGUUCAGCCACAUGCCAACAUUUCAUGCUGUUACCUAAACGGUGUCAGAACUCUCAGAACUCCAUCAAAACAGAAGUGGUUUGCACUUUGGUAUUAAAAGUUAUGUCCAGGCCUGAACACCUCGUUGGGAGCUGGGCCACACAGCAGGCUCCUCUGGGCAAAGAUUUCUUUUCUAAGCAGCCGUUAUGCAAGUACCAAUCUGUGAAAAAAUUUUGAAACUCAAAGAGAGAGAACCUUGAUUUGACAUAGUGCUCUUGCUGCACGUUCCGUAGAAGGAAAGUCACCCACAUCUCUAGAUCUAAUGGAAAGUAGGAAAGAAGCACCAAGUGCAAGGUUCUGCAUGUGGGCUGGGGCAAUACCAAGCACAGGCACAGGCUGGGCAGAGAAUGGAUGGAGAGCAGCCCUGAGGAGAAGGACUGUGGGGUGUUGGUGGAUGAGGAGCUCAACUUGGCCCAGCAAAGUGUGCUUGCAGCACAGAAAGCCAACCAUGCCGUGGGCUACAUCCCCAGCAGGGCGAGGGAGGGGAUUCUCCCCCUCUGCUCUGCUCUGCUCUGCUCUCGUGAGACCCCCCCUGUGCAGUGCUGUGUCUUCUCUGAGGCCCUCAACAUAAGAAAGACAUGAAGCUGUUGGAGCAAGUCUAGAGGAGACCGUGGAGAUGCUCAGAGGGCUGGAGCCCCUCUGCUGUGCAGACAGGCUGAGGGAGUUGGGGUUGUUCAGCCUGGAGAAGAAAUGGCUCCAGGGAGACCUUAGAGCAGCUCCCAGUACCUGAAGGGACUGACAGGAAAGCUGGAGGGGUGCAGAGGGAUUUUUAAAGGACCGAGGACAUAUGUUACCGUUGUCCAGGUUGGACAACCAAGGCCUGUUAGUUGAAGCUGCAGAGCAACUUUAAAUUGCCCUGGGAACAAGCAGUGUGAGAAAUAAAACAAGCUAUGCACGAACAAGAAGCCAGGUGCAGAGCAAGUCCUGGGAACCGCAGAAUCGACACACUCAUUGGCACACUCUGAUCAGGUGCCUGCAGCAUGUGACACGGAUGCCCGCAUGGCCAGAGUCUUUUAUCCAAUCACCUGUGUGUAAAGUCGGGUGGGCGGUCGGUUUAAGUUAGAAAUAUGACCUGUUUGUUUAAUAAAGUGAGCACGGCA